AGUGGAUACAACAGUCCCAGAUGACAGCAGUUUCUGUUGUUUCCUCUCUGCCUUCUCCCUGAUCAGUUCAAGAGGAAACCACAACCUCUUCCCUCCCAGUUCCCUCUCAGAAGUUCACAUCUGAAGAAGUAUUUUGCACCAGGCAGGGAACAACUUUUCUCUCGCUGCCCUUUUUUUAAAACCACAGAGGGUCAGCAAUCCUCUGUGGCUGGUCCUGUGCCAUCACACUUUCCCUCCUUGUGGAAAUCUAACUCAAAAUUGAGCCUAAAAAAUGGCAAAACCUCCCUUUCCCUUGCACUUAUAAAGCAACAUUUGUGAUGCAGAGAAUCUGUAAGCUUCAAGACGAUUUCCACCAGCAGAAGGAACAGAGGGAACUGCACCGGGGGAAGUGCUCCUCAUUUGGGGACUGUUCUCAGAAAAAAAGGAUGUACUGGCAGAAAAAUGGAGAAGACAAACAUCUUGAUUUCAAAAUUUCGUAAACAUCUGGAAAACACCCCACAGACGAGCAAAAAGAUUCAUCUGGGUGCUGGGGGUGGUGAAUGAGCUGCAGAAUUUCUGAAGGAAACAUAGUCAUAAACCCCAGGACAACAUCAGCCUUUUCGGUAUUUUGCGCAAGCUUCAUAAAAGCCACGUCAAACAAAAUUAUUUAUAGUACUGGGCACUGCUCACUUCUGCUUUGGAUUCAGUCCUUCCAGUUUGCCUCUGCCAUGAGGUUUGGUGGUUUGAGGACAGUUUAAAAACCAGAGAUUUCCGAUCUCAGCUGCCCUACUAACCCCUUGUGUGGCUCUGGGCGAAGCAAUGAACCUCUCGGUGUGCCAGCCUCCCCAUCUGCAAAUUGGAGUUUCUAGUUUCUGCUCAUCUCUGUCCUCUGGGUAUUGAAAAGACCAAUUGAUUUACAUGUGUGAAGAGCUUUUGAUUCACAGAGUGUUUUAUAAAUGCUAAGUGCAAUUGGGAUGAUUAAGACCAUCUACAGAGCUUGUGCAUGAGGUUGUUACAUGAAAGAUAAAAAGGCAACACAGCAAAAGGCAACUUCUUCUUGGAAAAAGAAAUAAAAAGGCAGAUUGAGAGAAGGAGAACUUCCUCAGGGCAACGACUAAGCUGGAAGUGCCAUUUGGGAGCCUUUCAGCCCCAAGACUGCCUAACUCACAGGCUCUGAGCAUGAACAUGGAAGCUUGCCCAGGUACAAAUGACCCGUGUGGUUAAGAAGCCUGAGCAGUAACUGAAGAGGCUCUCGGGCUGGUCCAGGGUGUACGAGCAUACCUGGAUGGGGGGAUGGUGUGCACCCCUUGCCUGUGGCAGAGCGGCAGACUCAGAUUUCAUGGAAGCUAUAAUUUUGCCUGCUGCCACUGCUAGAUCCUAAUAACCAAACCAAGAAGGGAAUUUUUACGCCAUCGGAGGCAUUCCUGAUCCCCCUCCGCAUCUAGUGAAAACUUAAUAGCGUGAGAAAAUGCCUUCCUGUAGCGUAUUGUAAACCACAUGCAGAACAGGAGCAGACGGAAGGGGCUUGUCCUCCACCCAACCAAGGGGCUCUGCCAAGAUGCUCCCUGCCAAAGGAUGGAAGCAGAAAGAAACAGCACCUUUGCAGAAUGCAGUUUUUAGUCAAUGAAAGCAGUAGAAAUUGCUGAGGCUGCGGAGUAAUAAUUCUUGGUGCUUAGCAGAAGAUAAGUAAAGGGAGAGGGAGAGUUGCUUUUUCAAAGCCUUUUCCCCCCAGUACAGAUGGUAGCAGUUAAGAUUCCUGCAGGCGCUGCAAAGUUAACACAUCUGGAAGUUUCCUGAUGCCUGAAGUCAGGCCGUGGCAAACAAUGCUCGCUGGGCUGAGCAGGCUCUGCUCGGGUGCUUUUAUUGCACUUGGACUGAUUUCAAGCUCUGCUCCGUGAUUAAUUACACUUUUAAAAAUAAAGUUCAAAACACUUCCCAGGAAGUUUGGGAAAGGCAGAGUGCUUCAGUGGCACCAGAAGCUCUGUGCAGUUCUCAUUACAGGCGUCCCAGAUACAGCUUGCAUUAGCAACAGUAUAAUUUGACUUAGAAUCUUGCAAUCCCAUAUUAUUGCCGAGAAACUAGGGAAUGAUACUGUGUCUCUCUUUUUUCCAAAGCUCUCCGAUGUCUGCCGAUCCUUGGCCAGGGUCUCUCCUCCCAUCUUUCUUGUGCAGUUAA